rnacentral:rRNA from 1 species
AUUGAACGCUGGCGGCAUGCUUUACACAUGCAAGUCGAACGGUAACAGGUCUUCGGAUGCUGACGAGUGGCGAACGGGUGAGUAAUACAUCGGAACGUGCCUAGUAGUGGGGGAUAACUACUCGAAAGAGUAGCUAAUACCGCAUGAGAUCUACGGAUGAAAGCAGGGGACCUUCGGGCCUUGUGCUACUAGAGCGGCUGAUGGAAGAUUAGGUAGUUGGUGGGGUAAAGGCUUACCAAGCCUGCGAUCUGUAGUUGGUCUGAGAGGACGACCAGCCACACUGGGACUGAGACACGGCCCAGACUCCUACGGGAGGCAGCAGUGGGGAAUUUUGGACAGUGGGCGAAAGCCUGAUCCAGCAAUGCCGCGUGCAGGAUGAAGGCCCUCGGGUUGUAAACUGCUUUUGUACGGAACGAAAAGCCUGGGGCUAAUAUCCCCGGGUCAUGACGGUACCGUAAGAAUAAGCACCGGCUAACUACGUGCCAGCCGCCGCGGUAA